AGGAGGAUUUGCUUCUCCAGGGGAGUUUGAGGUGGAGGUUACAUAGGGUGCUCUGUUCCCCAUACAGGAAAACCCUGGUGGUGUUACUUCCCUGUGAAGUAGUUUGGCAAUGACUCAAGUUCAGAAGCUGGCAGGUGAAGUGCCUUUGUGAGGUUCCCUUCAGGGAUGUAACAUUUGGAUUUAUGUCUUGGAUCACUGUUUGCACUGCUGAAGAUACAGAACUUGUCCAUAUUACAGCUCCACAGCUCCUUCUUGCUUAUGCACUGGAUUGUGCCUAAAAAGCCUAUUUCUAGCCUUCCUAGGGAUGCUACAUCAGUAGCAUGCCUUCCAUCACUUUCCUGUUAAGAGCCCUUCUGCUUAGUUUUUAUUUCCAGUUGUCCUUUAUCUAAUUGCAUCUAUGCUGUGACAUGAUGAAUGUCACCAAAUUCUUUGGUAAAAGCCCAUCUCUAGGAGAAGGCAUAUUUCUCUAAAAAGGGACAGUAGCAAGAAAAGCAUGUGCUGCAGUAAUGCCUCCACUGCUUCUCUUUUCUCUCUGCAGAUAGUGUUUUUCUCACAAAGGGAAAAAAUAAUGGGGACUGCCCAGCCUCCUUUCCAAUCCCAUCACAAGAAAGUGUCAGAUCUUGGCAGAUGUGCUAGAGAAAAGCUUUCACAGUACCUUGCUAAAAUGAAGACAACAAGUUUAAAAAAAAAAGAAAAAACACAUAAAGAAACAUAUAGCAUGAGCCAGCGCUGUGAAGGUGCUUCUGACCUCCACAUACCAUUUCAAUUCAGGCAAUGGUUGAAAAUAUAAGCCUUCAAUCACAAAGGUUUAACAUUGCACAAAGAAACUGGGCGGUUCACAGGUUUUUAUUCCUAUGUUGAGUGCACUGAGAAAGCAAGGUGCCUGCUACAGAUCUCUCCAGGCAUACACUGAGUGGAAGGAAAGUAUAAAGCUAAUGGAAAGCAGAGCAGAGAGGAUGGAGGGAGUACAGCAGAAAAAGAUGGAUAGGGCUGUGUCUUCUGACGGAGAUGUGAUGCAACCAGGUAGUUAACUUGUUUUCUACAACCUUUGAUGGAUGCUCCUUCCACUGCAGGGACAUCAUUGCUCAGUACGUGAAAUGACUUAAAAGGGGAGUAUGAUGCUCCCAAAACAUGAUACAUUGCCUGCUUACAGCACGCAUUUCUUUCUCACUGUGGGUAUAGAGCAGAGUCAGGAGCAGCAGAAGCCCUCUUUGGCAGCGAGCCAGGGCUUGGUGUCCCCCACAUGGCUUAGAGAUCCUUCCUGUGCAGAACAGAAAGCAGUUCCUAACCCAAAGCUCACCAUCUCCUGUAAAACAAAACCUUAAAUGAGUGCAAGAGGCCAAUACAGAGGGGGAGAAAGGGUGCUGUGAUCAUGGAAUGCAGGUGCACAGGUUUCUGGUUACUGCUUUUCUGGCUGAAGGAUUAAUGGUCCCCAGCCCAGAGCCACCACCUCUGCCCUGCUGUCUUCAGCUCAGCCAGCUGAGCCCCCCUGGUGAGCAGUCCCUUGGCCCUUCAAUCCAAGCAAAGAGGGAUUUUAUGGAUGCUUUCACUGCUAGGACAUUGCUAAACUGUGUGUAUGCAAUGAAUUCACUCUGUUAACGUGUGAGCUCUGCCUUUCUUCAUCACUGGCCUUCAUACCAGGUGGGAAUGACUUGCAGUCCCCUCUGGUCAGGAGUAGACUUAAACCUUUCCGAACAACCGCGUUCUCCCAGAAAUGCAAUGUUUCCCCUUCAAAAACCUUACCAGGCAGGCAGGACAUGCCACAUCUUCUAUGCUAUGUUGCAGCACAAACCUCACUGGUUUGCCUUGCCAUUUCUGCACUGACAGUAUAAAAAUCAGUUGUAUUCAGUGUAUUUAAAUACAUUGCUAGCAACAAAAAUUAUGAGUUCAUUCAUUAGGUGAGAAUAAGUUUUAUUGUUUAAUCUUUAAAAACAAACUUUUUUUUUCAAUUCCAAUAAUCCAUUGGCACUUUCAUCAGACCUUAACACAUAGUAACACAGAGCCCCUGAAGCUGGUGGCAUUUCAUUUACACACACUUUGCUAGCAGUAGCUGAUGACUAACGCUGAUGAAAAAUGGGUGGGAAAAUCCAGACUGGCAGGUUUGAAAAGUUUAUUGGACAUUGUGAUUGCUACAGAAAAAGCUGCUCAGACAAGAGGGAAACCUUCCCCCACAUGUAGAGGGACCAUUAUCUAAGUGCACUGUUGUUCCUAAUGUCUCAGCAUAUGGAGAUUUCACUGCAAAGGCAUAAUGUUCCUUCUGUUAACUUAUAAAAGGAACUGACAUGGAUUCUAUCAUGAAUUUUAAAACACUACAUUUUCUAG